rnacentral:rRNA from 1 species
GACGGGGGAUGCAAGCGUUAUCCGGAAUCACUGGGCGUAAAGCGUCUGUAGGUGGCGAUGCAAGUCACGGGUGCAAAACUCUGGCUCAACCGGAGGAAAGCCAGUGAAACUGCAUGACUAGAGUGUGGGAGAGGUAGAAGGAAUUCCCUGAGUAGCGGUGAAAUGCGUAGAUACAGGGAAGAACACCGGAGGCGAAUGCGUUCUACUGGAACACAACUGCCGCUGAGAGGCGAAAGCUAGGGGAGCGAAUGGG